UCCCUGGCAGUCCAGUGGUUAAGACUCUGCACUCCUGGUGCAGGGAGCACAGGUUCGAUCCCUGGUUGAGGAA
rnacentral:tRNA from 1 species